AGAGUUUGAUCCUGGCUCAGGACGAACGCUGGCGGCGUGCUUUAUACAUGCAAGUCGAACGAUGAAGUUACUUCGGUAAUGGAUUAGUGGCGAACGGGUGAGGAACACGUGAAGAAUCUGCCCCUCAUUUUGGGAUAACUUCGGGAAACCGAGGCUAAUACCGAAUAUUGAAACAUAAGUGGCAUCACUGAGUUUUGAAAGUUUUUCGAUGAGGGAUGACUUCGCGGCCUAUCAGCUAGUUGGUGAGGUAACGGCUCACCAAGGCAACGACGGGUAGCCGGCGUGAGAGGGCGAACGGCCACACUGGGACUGAGACACGGCCCAGACUCCUACGGGAGGCAGCAGUAGGGAAUAUUGCGCAAUGGAGGAAACUCUGACGCAGCGACGCCGCGUGCGGGAUGAAGGCCUUCGGGUUGUAAACCGCUUUCAGUAGGGAAGAAGCGAAAGUGACGGUACCUACAAAAGAAGCACCGGCUAACUAUGUGCCAGCAGCCGCGGUAAUACAUAGGGUGCAAGCGUUGUCCGGAAUUAUUGGGCGUAAAGAGCUCGUAGGUCGUUUGUUACGUCGGAUGUGAAAAUCUGAGGCUCAACCUCAGACCUGCAUUCGAUACGGGCAAACUAGAGUUUGGUAGGGGAGACUGGAAUUCCUGGUGUAGCGGUGGAAUGCGCAGAUAUCAGGAGGAACACCAACGGCGAAGGCAGGUCUCUGGGCCAAUACUGACACUGAGGAGCGAAAGCGCGGGGAGCGAACAGGAUUAGAUACCCUGGUAGUCCGCGCCGUAAACGGUGGGUACUAGUUGUGGGAACCUUCCACGGUUUCUGCGACGACGCUAACGCAUUAAGUACCCCGCCUGGGGAGUACGAUCGCAAGAUUAAAACUCAAAGGAAUUGACGGGGCCCCGCACAAGCAGCGGAGCAUGCGGCUCAAUUCGAUGCAACGCGAAGAACCUUACCAAGGCUUGACAUAUAGCGAAAAGUGGCAGAGAUGUCAUGUCCGCAAGGGCGCUAUACAGGUGGUGCAUGGUUGUCGUCAGCUCGUGUCGUGAGAUGUUGGGUUAAGUCCCGCAACGAGCGCAACCCUCGUUCUGUGUUACCAGCAUUU
rnacentral:rRNA from 1 species